rnacentral:rRNA from 1 species
AGUGAACGCUGGCGGUAGGCCUAACACAUGCAAGUCGAACGGCAGCACAGUAAGAGCUUGCUCUUACGGGUGGCGAGUGGCGGACGGGUGAGGAAUACAUCGGAAUCUACUUUUUCGUGGGGGAUAACGUAGGGAAACUUACGCUAAUACCGCAUACGACCUACGGGUGAAAGCAGGGGAUCUUCGGACCUUGCGCGAUUGAAUGAGCCGAUGUCGGAUUAGCUAGUUGGCGGGGUAAAGGCCCACCAAGGCGACGAUCCGUAGCUGGUCUGAGAGGAUGAUCAGCCACACUGGAACUGGGACACGGUCCAGACUCCUACGGGAGGCAGCCGUGGGGAAUAUUGGACCAUGGGCGCAAGCCUGAUCCAGCCCUACCGCGUGGGUUAAGAAGGCCUUCGGGUUGGAAAGCCCUUUUGUUGGGAAAGAAAAGCAGCAGGUUAAUACCCCGCUGUUCUGACGGUAACCAAAGAAUAAGCACCGGCUAACUUCGUG